AAAGUUUUAGUAUAUUAAGUAUAUUACGUUGUCGUCGUUGGGGUUAAAACUUUA
rnacentral:tRNA from 1 species